AUUGAACGCUGGCGGCAGACCUAACACAUGCAAGUCGAACGGUAACAGGAAGAAGCUUGCUUCUUUGCUGACGAGUGGCGGACGGGUGAGUAUGUCUGGGAAACUGCCUGAUGGAGGGGGAUAACUACUGGAAACGGUAGCUAAUACCGCAUAACGUCGCAAGACCAAAGAGGGGGACCUUCGGGCCUCUUGCCAUCGGAUGUGCCCAGAUGGGAUUAGCUAGUAGGUGGGGUAACGGCUCACCUAGGCGACGAUCCCUAGCUGGUCUGAGAGGAUGACCAGCCACACUGGAACUGAGACACGGUCCAGACUCCUACGGGAGGCAGCAGUGGGGAAUAUUGCACAAUGGGCGCAAGCCUGAUGCAGCCAUGCCGCGUGUAUGAAGAAGGCCUUCGGGUUGUAAAGUACUUUCAGCGGGGAGGAAGGGAGUAAAGUUAAUACCUUUGCUCAUUGACGUUACCCGCAGAAGAAGCACCGGCUAACUCCGUG
rnacentral:rRNA from 1 species